UACCUAUAUUAUUAUUAAUAUACAUCUGUAUUAUCAUUUAUAUACAUCUAUAUUAUCUACAUACAUCUAUAUUAUUUUAAUAUAGAGUGUAGGUUAGUUGUAGGCUAGAUAGACACCAUGGAGCCACCCAGAAAGAGGAGGACUUCUCCUGUCUGGGAACAUUUUGAAUUGUUUGCUCAAAACAAGGUAAGGUGCUUGCUGUGUCAUAAGGAGCUCACUUACAGCAACAACACAUCCUCCAUGAUAAGGCAUUACAGAGCAAUACAUGAGCAUGCACAGUCUGCUGCCAGUGGUCCAGACACCAGUCAAAAUUCCAGAAAGAAAAUAGUGGAUGAUGCCCUGGUCAAUAUGGUCAUCAAAGACUCACAACCCUUUUCCAUAUAUAUAUGCAUAUGUGUGUGUGUAUGUGUGUGUAUAAUGUAAUAUCAAUCACUGAUUGCUGUUUUUGUACCCUUGUACACUUAUAGGUGACCUUUGGCAUUUGCUGGACUCCAAUGUGGGACAGAGCAGGCAGAGUUCGAGUGCAAUAGUUGAUGCAACCAUUGAAGUUGACAGAUACUUAUCUGAAGUAAACCUGCCCAGACAAGAAUAUCCACUCAUGUACUGGAGCAAACAUAAAUAUAUAUAUCCACAUUUAUAUAAGUUGGCACAAACGUUUUUAUGCAUUCCAGCCUCCUCAGUGCCAUGUGAAAGGGAAUUCUCUAAGGCUGGGGAGAUUGUAUCCAAAAAAAGGAAUCGCCUAAACCCCAACACUGUUAAAAAGCUUAUGUUUUUAAAUAAAAAUCAAUAAAUUGAA